UCAUGAAUAGGAAAGAGUUGUGUAUAUCCCAUUGGCAUACGUGGGCAAGGGGCGGGGUCUAUUUUCCGUGUCAUGGCUCCUCCCUGUAGACUUCAAGAAGUUCCAUAUCCGGAAGUGGGCCCCGUAGACUUUCGUUUGACUGUCGACACCUUUCUCGCUGUGUCAUAUUCACUCAUCAUUGACUGAUGACCCCUGAACAGAUUUCCGGCCCUUCUUCAUACACCUUGUCUUCCACCUUCACAGUCAUGGCACAACACUCAGGAGUGCUGUGAGUUGCAUGACACCUGCAGAGGCUCCAUACUACAGACUACUACUACUCGGUACUACAGAAACCGGAUCACUUGACAAGCCUGUGUCCUGUUUUGGCCUUCCACACUCUGUAGGAUUGCAUAGGCUCCAUUUCUUCUCCCACAUCACCAUUCCAAAACAACUCCAGAUGUUUCGUUUGUAUUAUGGCCAGUUUCUUUACAUCUGUUACACUACCUGUGUUUUGCACCCAAAACUGGACUGCUCUAUCUGUUUCUUGUUUUUUAUCAUUAUCACUUGCAUUGCUGUAAAUAUGUUCCAUUAGCUCAGUUUUGCAACUAUGAAGUGUACAGUUUUGUUGUUGUAUUACUGUUACGCUGAGCAAAAAGAAACCUCAAACCUUACUCUUAGGCCUAUGUGAAUUCUUCAUGCGUGUCGUGCUCUGUCAACAGUUUGAUGCUUACAAAGCAUUCCAAGUGUCUGUAUGAUGUUCUACCAUUAUGCUAUGCCUUCACACAGUUAAUAACAAAAGGUAUACAGUAUUAAAAAUGCAUAUUCACACUA